rnacentral:rRNA from 1 species
GGUUAAGCGACUAAGCGUACACGGUGGAUGCCCUGGCAGUCAGAGGCGAUGAAGGACGUGCUAAUCUGCGAUAAGCGUCGGUAAGGUGAUAUGAACCGUUAUAACCGGCGAUUUCCGAAUGGGGAAACCCAGUGUGAUUCGUCACACUAUCAUUAACUGAAUCCAUAGGUUAAUGAGGCGAACCGGGGGAACUGAAACAUCUAAGUACCCCGAGGAAAAGAAAUCAACCGAGAUUCCCCCAGUAGCGGCGAGCGAACGGGGAGCAGCCCAGAGCCUGAAUCAGUAUGUGUGUUAGUGGAAGCGUCUGGAAAGGCGCGCGAUACAGGGUGACAGCCCCGUACACAAAAAUGCACAUGCUGUGAGCUCGAUGAGUAGGGCGGGACACGUGGUAUCCUGUCUGAAUAUGGGGGGACCAUCCUCCAAGGCUAAAUACUCCUGACUGACCGAUAGUGAACCAGUACCGUGAGGGAAAGGCGAAAAGAACCCCGGCGAGGGGAGUGAAAAAGAACCUGAAACCGUGUACGUACAAGCAGUGGGAGCACGCUUAGGCGUGUGACUGCGUACCUUUUGUAUAAUGGGUCAGCGACUUAUAUUCUGUAGCAAGGUUAACCGAAUAGGGGAGCCGAAGGGAAACCGAGUCUUAACUGGGCGUUAAGUUGCAGGGUAUAGACCCGAAACCCGGUGAUCUAGCCAUGGGCAGGUUGAAGGUUGGGUAACACUAACUGGAGGACCGAACCGACUAAUGUUGAAAAAUUAGCGGAUGACUUGUGGCUGGGGGUGAAAGGCCAAUCAAACCGGGAGAUAGCUGGUUCUCCCCGAAAGCUAUUUAGGUAGCGCCUCGUGAAUUCAUCUCCGGGGGUAGAGCACUGUUUCGGCAAGGGGGUCAUCCCGACUUACCAACCCGAUGCAAACUGCGAAUACCGGAGAAUGUUAUCACGGGAGACACACGGCGGGUGCUAACGUCCGUCGUGAAGAGGGAAACAACCCAGACCGCCAGCUAAGGUCCCAAAGUCAUGGUUAAGUGGGAAACGAUGUGGGAAGGCCCAGACAGCCAGGAUGUUGGCUUAGAAGCAGCCAUCAUUUAAAGAAAGCGUAAUAGCUCACUGGUCGAGUCGGCCUGCGCGGAAGAUGUAACGGGGCUAAACCAUGCACCGAAGCUGCGGCAGCGACGCUUAUGCGUUGUUGGGUAGGGGAGCGUUCUGUAAGCCUGCGAAGGUGUGCUGUGAGGCAUGCUGGAGGUAUCAGAAGUGCGAAUGCUGACAUAAGUAACGAUAAAGCGGGUGAAAAGCCCGCUCGCCGGAAGACCAAGGGUUCCUGUCCAACGUUAAUCGGGGCAGGGUGAGUCGACCCCUAAGGCGAGGCCGAAAGGCGUAGUCGAUGGGAAACAGGUUAAUAUUCCUGUACUUGGUGUUACUGCGAAGGGGGGACGGAGAAGGCUAUGUUGGCCGGGCGACGGUUGUCCCGGUUUAAGCGUGUAGGCUGGUUUUCCAGGCAAAUCCGGAAAAUCAAGGCUGAGGCGUGAUGACGAGGCACUACGGUGCUGAAGCAACAAAUGCCCUGCUUCCAGGAAAAGCCUCUAAGCAUCAGGUAACAUCAAAUCGUACCCCAAACCGACACAGGUGGUCAGGUAGAGAAUACCAAGGCGCUUGAGAGAACUCGGGUGAAGGAACUAGGCAAAAUGGUGCCGUAACUUCGGGAGAAGGCACGCUGAUAUGUAGGUGAAGCGACUUGCUCGUGGAGCUGAAAUCAGUCGAAGAUACCAGCUGGCUGCAACUGUUUAUUAAAAACACAGCACUGUGCAAACACGAAAGUGGACGUAUACGGUGUGACGCCUGCCCGGUGCCGGAAGGUUAAUUGAUGGGGUCAGCGCAAGCGAAGCUCUUGAUCGAAGCCCCGGUAAACGGCGGCCGUAACUAUAACGGUCCUAAGGUAGCGAAAUUCCUUGUCGGGUAAGUUCCGACCUGCACGAAUGGCGUAAUGAUGGCCAGGCUGUCUCCACCCGAGACUCAGUGAAAUUGAACUCGCUGUGAAGAUGCAGUGUACCCGCGGCAAGACGGAAAGACCCCGUGAACCUUUACUAUAGCUUGACACUGAACAUUGAGCCUUGAUGUGUAGGAUAGGUGGGAGGCUUUGAAGUGUGGACGCCAGUCUGCAUGGAGCCGACCUUGAAAUACCACCCUUUAAUGUUUGAUGUUCUAACGUUGACCCGUGAUCCGGGUUGCGGACAGUGUCUGGUGGGUAGUUUGACUGGGGCGGUCUCCUCCUAAAGAGUAACGGAGGAGCACGAAGGUUGGCUAAUCCUGGUCGGACAUCAGGAGGUUAGUGCAAUGGCAUAAGCCAGCUUGACUGCGAGCGUGACGGCGCGAGCAGGUGCGAAAGCAGGUCAUAGUGAUCCGGUGGUUCUGAAUGGAAGGGCCAUCGCUCAACGGAUAAAAGGUACUCCGGGGAUAACAGGCUGAUACCGCCCAAGAGUUCAUAUCGACGGCGGUGUUUGGCACCUCGAUGUCGGCUCAUCACAUCCUGGGGCUGAAGUAGGUCCCAAGGGUAUGGCUGUUCGCCAUUUAAAGUGGUACGCGAGCUGGGUUUAGAACGUCGUGAGACAGUUCGGUCCCUAUCUGCCGUGGGCGCUGGAGAAUUGAGGGGGGCUGCUCCUAGUACGAGAGGACCGGAGUGGACGCAUCACUGGUGUUCGGGUUGUCAUGCCAAUGGCACUGCCCGGUAGCUAAAUGCGGAAGAGAUAAGUGCUGAAAGCAUCUAAGCACGAAACUUGCCCCGAGAUGAGUUCUCCCUGACUCCUUGAGAGUCCUGAAGGAACGUUGAAGACGACGACGUUGAUAGGCCGGGUGUGUAAGCGCAGCGAUGCGUUGAGCUAACCGGUACUAAUGAACCGUGAGGCUUAACCUU